CCCCGGCCCGGCCCGGCCUGGGGGGGAGCGGGCGGGGGGCCCGUGGGCACCUCCCUGCAGCAGGGCUGGGCCAGGUAUGCCCAGGUGGGCCUCAGGUGUGCCACAGGUGGGCCCAGGUAGGCCCCAGGUACACCCCAGGUGUGCCCAGGUGGGCUCCAGGUGUGCCGAGGUACACCCCAGGUGUGCUCAGGUACACUCCAGGUAUGCCCCAGGUGCGCCCUAGCUGUAUCCACCUGUGCCCAGGUGGGCUCCAGGUGCAGCCAGCUGUGGCCAGAUGUGCUCCAGGUGGGCCCAUGUGGGCCCAGGUGUACUCCAGGUGGGCCCAGGUGCUCCACAGGUUGUGCCAGGUGCACUGGGUGGUGCCGAGGUCCUCCCAGGUGCUCCCAGGUGUGCCCCAGGCGCACCCAGGUGUGCCCAGGUGUGUGUGUGCGUGUGCUCUGUGUGUGCAGCACAAGAUCCAAUCACUCCUUCCGUUCUCUGUUUCGUCCUUGGGUUGAUUAUUUUCGGGUUUUUUUAAAUUUCAAUUCCUUUUUUCUUCCUUUUCCCCCUCCUCUGGUUUUUUGUUUUGUUUUGUUUUUUUAAUUUUUUUUUUGUAUCUCGAUCAUUUUUGUACAGAAGAAAUGAGAGCCUUUUUUUGAAUAACAAAGAGAAAACACACACAAAAAAGAACAAAAAACCAAAAAAAAAAAGACCAAAAAAAGAAAGGAAAAAAAAUGAAAAAAAAAAAUCAUGAUGCAAUUUCUUUGGAUUGCAAAAAAAGCAACUCUUUACAUUUAAGUGAAGUGUCUUAACAUUUUAUAUUGUUUUAAAAAAUAUAUUUACAUAUUAUAUAUAUAUAAUAUACGUAAUAUAAAUCUAUAUAUAAAUAUUUAAAGAGGGGAAAAAAACCUAAAAAAAAAAAACUUAAAAAAAAAGGAAAAAGAAGAGAAAUAAAUAAAUCACGUCCGGUAUUAUUUAGGGGGUGGAUUUAAAAUCCCUGCUUAGGUUUAGAGCUCCUCGUGGUUCCCAGAGCGGCUUCAUCGCCCUCGCGCUGAGUCCCCGCCCUCUCUCCUUGUCCCCAGGUGUCCCCAGGUGUCCCCUGGUGGCCCUUGGGGACCCCCGCCCACCCCCAGUGCCAGCAGCAAUAGCAGUCACUGACGCGUUUGGAAUUAAUUUUGUUUUUAAUUAAUUUCUGUUCUCGGUACCAAAGUGAAUUCUCUGUAGCAAAGCCGCAGCUCCCGGGGCCGGGCCGGUGGUGGCACCUGGCGCUGUCCCCUCCCCUGCCCUGCGGUGCCACCUCCCGUCACCUUGUGUCACCCCAGGGAGGGCACGGUGACAGAUCCUGAGCUCUGCUGGCUGGAGGUGACAGUGCCAUCCCCUUGGGGAAACCAAAAUGGGGGGGGGAGGGUGACAAUGCCACCCCUGUGGGGACACCCAGAUGGAGGUGACAAUGCCAUCCUCUGCGGGUGACAAUGCCACUCCCUUGGGGACACCAAAAUGGAGAGGUGGGCAGUGCCACCCCCUUGGGGACGCCUAGAUGGGAGAUGACAAUGCCAUCCUCUAUGGGUGACAAUGCCACCCCUGUGGGGACACCAAAAUGGAGGGCUGACAAUGACUCACAUAUGGAGAGGUGGCAGUGCCAUCCCCUUGGGGACACCCAGAUGGCAGGUGACAAUGCCAUCCUCCUUUAUGACACCCUCAAAAAUGUCAUUGGGGGGGACAAUUGCCACCCUUGUGGUGACACGCGCAGAAAUGACAUGAGGCGGUGACAAGUGUCGCCCCCUUGUGGACACUCUCAAAAAUGUCAUGGGGGGUGACAAGUGCCACCUCCAUUGGGGCGCAGACAUGAGGAGGUGACAAUUGCCACCCUCCACGGGCACACCCCCAAAAAUGACACUGGAGGGGGCUGUCCUCAGUGUCCCCACCUUGGUGUCCCCACCUUGGUGUCCCCAAGCUAUCACCGAUUUUGGAGAGCGUUGUCCCUUUUCCCACCUGCACUUUGUCCCCAAGCCAUGCCUCCCAGCUCGGUGUCACUGGCUCAGAGCAGGGAGGUGACAGUGACAAAGCAAGGGGUGACAGCGCCAGGUGAGGGGGUGGCAGGUCCCAAGCUGUCCCCAAACCCCCCCCAGUGUCCCCUUUUCCCGGCUGGUGUCCCCGUGAGCGUGAUGUCCCCGCGUGCGUGUGCGUCCGUCCCCUUCAUGGCAUCGUGCAAAUCCCUCGCUGAAGCAAGAAGACAACAAUAACAAAAAAAAAUCAAAAUUAACAACAAAACAACUCAAUUCUGGUUCAGACCAGGAAAAGCGUAUUUUAAAAAUUAUUAAAAAAAAGAGGAAAAUGUGUAAAAAUGACAAAAAAAGCCCAAACCCAAGCGCUGCCUGCAUCGUGCAUGUGUCGGAGGCGCCCGCUGCAUGCGCUCCCCGCUUUACUCGUCUGGAUGUUGUUUCAAAACAAACAAAAAAAAAAGGCUACAACUCUGAAAAGGACAAAAAAAAAAAAAGGACAAACUGAGAAGAAAAAGUAAAAAAACGCCAAAAAAAAAAAAAAAGGAAAAACAAGGAAUUUCUGGUUCUCCUUAGAGGCUGUUUUGGGGUUUCUACGCCGUUGUGUGUCUCUCUCUCUCUCUCUCUUCCGCAUGAAUUUUCUCGUGAACUGUUUUAAAAAGGAAAUAAAAGGAACAAAAAGUACAAAAAAUAGUAGAAAAUGGAGGAAAAAAAAAGGAAAAAACCGAAGAAAAAUGUAAAAAAAAAAAGCCUAGCACAGGGGAAAAGCAGGGGAGGGGAGGGAGGGGACCCCCCCACCCUGUGCCACCCCCCCGCUGUGUCCCCCGUGUCACCGUGGAUGCCAUGGGUAGUUGUGUGUGACCGUUGUAAUUCCCGUGACAAAAGGGUUGCUUUUUAUUAUUUUCCUUUUUCCCUUUAUAAUUUUUCUUUUCUAUCAGAGUGUCUGGCUUUAAUAAAAUUACCUUUUUUUUUUU